AUAAGUGCGUGUUCGUCUGCGCGAAUUGUCAUCGCGAAGUCCAUGCUGGCGUUACGCAGCUUCCUCGGGCGACCGAGGUUGUAAAACGAGGUGAACUCGGGGGAACCCCACGUGGGCAAUCCCGAACCAAGCCCAAAGAUAGUUAGUUAGCUAUCAUAGGGAAGGUGUAGAGACUAUCCUGAAAGGGAGUACUCCGACGAUUGGUCGGAGGAAGCGCCUCGGGUCCCGCAAUGCGGGAUCAUGAUAUAGUCCAUCCCCAACGGCAACGAUGGG
rnacentral:ncRNA from 1 species